rnacentral:rRNA from 1 species
UACGUAGGGUGCGAGCGUUAAUCGGAAUUACUGGGCGUAAAGCGUGCGCAGGCGGUUAUGUAAGACAGAUGUGAAAUCCCCGGGCUCAACCUGGGAACUGCAUUAGUGACUGCAUAGCUGGAGUACGGCAGAGGGAGAUGGAAUUCCGCGUGUAGCAGUGAAAUGCGUGGAUAUGCGGAGGAACACCGAUGGCGAAGGCAAUCCCCUGGGCCUGUACUGACGCUCAUGCACGAAAGCGUGGGGAGCAAACAGGAUUAGAAACCCUAGUAGUCC